GCUGCCUUUAUCAGGAACCUUCAAGCCGUCAUCCCAGCCUUCCAUCCGCUCCUCUCAGCUUGUCUAAUACACAGGGAAGGCCUUUUCACUUUGGCUUACGUGAUAAUUGGCCCCCCUCCAUUUGAAAGCUCCCACUCUUCUCUGUCCAACUCCACAGAGCCAUUAUUCUGAUCUAGAGAUGUGAAAUUACCUAUAAUUUUCCCCGAUGCCCCCCUCCGUCAGCUGGGUUCAGCAUACAGCAGCGCUCGCCUCUUAUUCCCGCAUGUUUAUUAACAAGGCAGCAUAAUGAUCAGGAGUGAGGAGGUGAAAAGGGUGUACAAAGAAGGAGAUGUUAAUAUGUCACAAAACGGCUCGUUAUGAGAGGAAAAAUCAGCUCGGAGGGGUUGAAAAACUGCGCGCCUCUGCUGCGCGUUUUGUUCUUCCCAGAAACAGACGGCUGAGGAGCUCCUGCGCGCCUCAGGCCAGGUAGGCUACAGACGUCAGACUUCCCUAAGGCUGCAGCGAUGGAAGAACCUCGGCGGGGACGGCAUUGGCACCGCUUUGGGGCUUAAAGCUCUGGGCUGAACUGACAGCUUUGUGCCUGCUCCACAUCUGGAUCAAGGAACCCUGUCUGGGACCAUACCCUUGGUGUUUACAGCCCUGUUGUUUUUUCACACUCCUCACAUUAAAAGACAAAUCUCGCCCAACGCACAUUCCAGAGUCACCAGCUCAACGUGGGAGAGAAGCUGUGCAGUUUUCCGGUGUAAAGGCUGCUCACAGUACUUCAUGGUGGUGAAGUAAAGAAGUAAAGAAGAUGGUUCAGAUGACGGCUAAAAACACACUCUGGGAAUCUUCCUCUCUGAACUGGGGUUAAACCAGCUGUUGCUGACUGGCUUUCUGAGGAGAAAGCAACAUUUUCUUUAUAAAAGACAACCACCUUGGUGUGAGCUAACAAACUAUUAAUCUGCUCCACAGAAGUGAGAAAAACUUCCAAUAAAAUCAUUAAAAAAGA